GUUGAGAACCGUUACUUGACUGGUACCUCCAGCCCACCAGCAGGCAAUGAUGGCAUCAGACUAGAGGAUCACCAGUAAAUCAUUGUAAACAAGCGUGGAAAGAGAGAAAGUCCACUUUAAGCGAUGGAAAAUCAGCCCCAAUUCUGAAGGAACAACCAUGAACAGAUGAUUUAAGGAGAAUCAAUUCUUUGCUCUUUGCAGAAGGAGCCAACAGAGUGAGAUGAAGGGGACAACUUCAGAUACUCAGGCAGAAGCAUAAGUCCCCACCUGCUGACCUGCUGCCUGCUAUCUUAACACGAAUUCUUCAUCUGAAUGGAUGAGCUUUUCACAGAGCUGAAUGCACACCUGGCCCAAGAGCUGGAGAAGCUAAAGGCGGGACCAGGGAAAGGUGGAGCGGUUGCAGACUCAGCUGCUGGCCCACAUCAACAAGGUGAGCCAGCAGAUCCUUCCACCCCACUUGCUGAUACAGCUUCAACAAAGAAGGGUGUUCACCAACUGACUACAAGAAUCAUUGCUAACCAGGGAUGACUCAUUCUCACAUCCAUCCUAAAUAGACUUCCUUGGAUACAAAAAAUCCAGAGUUUGCCGUAUCUCCAUGGACACUGUCAUUUAGACAGGACACUUACUUCUUGGGAAACUCACUUCCAUUUUCCUAAUAAGGUUCCCUUUGAAGACUAAGAAUUUCUCCAAGACAAAAUUCAUGUAAGCCAAAAUACCAGACAUCAGGCCUGUAAUUGUGGUCACCCUGGCCACAGCCAAGUUGUCACCUUCACUCACGAUCAUCUUUCUGCCCUCUGCUACUUGUAGAAUAAUGAUCAUAAAGUAUUGUUGUCUGAAGCCCCUUUAGAAAAGUUGAUUUACAGCAGCCCAUGAGAGAGGUAGAUUAGAGAUGACCAAUGUCCUGAGAACACCAAGAAGCACUCAUCUUUGAUUCUCAGGGCUUGACAUUUCAGAAACAAAUCCAGACACAUUAUAAUAAUGACCCUGGUCCAUUGUGAGCCCAUUAGAAAACACUCACAAAUAAGUAUUCAAAAUUUUCCAGUUAUUUUGACUCCUAAAAAUGUCUUCCAAGAUAUAUCAAAGUUUCCGUAAUUUUGCAAUCAACUUGGUUUUUAUUUAAACCAAGUAGCAACUCUCUCUGUAGCAACCCUGACUUUUCUUGUUAUUAAAUCACUCUAUAAUUAAAUAUAAAGUUAUUGGUGACAUUCACAGAAAAUCCUAGAGAGUAUGGAGUUCUUGCUACAGAAGAUAUACUUUAUUGAAAUGUAAAAGAAGUCAGUUAAAUUUAUAAUUUCAACUUGCCCAAACAUUUAGCUCAAAAGUAGUGAUCUUAGUUUUGACAUUUCUUGCAUUGGACUCAAGGCUUCUAAUAGAUUACAAGUUCCUUUUAUUGAUUCAACACAUUAUUAUUGAGUAACCUUUGUUCUAGACACU
rnacentral:lncRNA from 1 species